UAUCUUCUACUACUUAUUAAGACGGUAAGGGUAGCCUGCCGUUCUGCCAUUCUGCGAUCUCAGCCGUCCAUUCUAUCCUGUAAAUAAUCUCAGCCGUCCACGUCCCACGGUGCACGUUCUGUCGCCCGCAUCCCGCCCCGCAUCCCGCGACCUUCUUCCUCUGCUGCCUCCUGCCCGCAUCCUGCCGGCGGACGCACCCCGCCCCGCAUCCCGCGACCUUCUUCCUCUGUUGCCUCCACGGGAGCCUUCUCACCUCCACGCGUCGUUGCGUCAGAUCCGUCUGUCGCUAGAGAAAACCCUACCCAAUGACCACAUGCAUUCUUACUGGGACGACGCCACUAUUGGCGCAGAGGAGCAGAUAUGGCGCAUCGCAUGUACUCCGUCGCUGUCCUCCUCGAAUCCGCCUCUAAUUUCUCCAACGCCAUAGGCAAGGAGAUGCCUGCCCACCGCCCCGGCACCCCCCGCCCUCGCCGCGCACACCCCAAGCCCCGCGGAUCACAGUCGCCUCUACCCUAGCGGGAGCCGCGCCCGCACCCACAUUACCCGCACGAUGGCAAGAGGCAGCGGCACAAGGCCACGGCGACUCCUCGAGCAGAGGAACCCGACCGAGCGCAGCAACGCAAAUCUUCAAUCUCAAAUCCGUGCUGCGAGAAAAGGGAGCUCCCACAAGUGGUAUGGCUCGAUAGAGGUUAUUUGGAUCUGUGAUGCGAUAGAAAUUCAUGGUUUAAAGAUAGGGGUGACGAGCAGCCGCGGGUGGCUGAGCACUUGCUGUCUUGCAUCAAGGCUGAAGGCAGCUGCAGGGAUUACGUGGCUAUAAAGAUGGAUGGCUCGAGUAUUCUGCGACUUCUUUAGAGUAAAGUGCUUUCGGCAAGGAGAACUGCAGUGGGUUUGCUCAUGGAACUGGUCUGCUUAAGAAGGAGAGAAAUGGUUGAAUUGCUCCUGCAUGGAACGAGAGCAGAGUCGAUCGUGGAGGCAAUGGAUGUGCUGCUGGAGUACCUCCGGAGCUUGCCCGCAGAAGAACAAGCCCCAAUCGCCGUUCUACUGAUGUGUUUGGAUGCAUUGGUGGAGCCAAACAGAAACAUCACGUACAAAGAAGAGGCGAUCAAGACCAUCGCACGUUCUCUGAGAUGCUGCCUGUCAGAGGACACUGCCGUGCCCAGCACUCGGAGAACUCUGCUGCUGCUCCUCAGGCGACCUUCACGCAGAGGACUGGAUGCUGGAACAUGCCGGCUUCGUCGACCACUCACGGGCCACCACUACCACUCCUGAUGCUGUUGUACACGACAAUGAAGCAGCCGAAAACGAUGUGUGGCUGAGACACGUGGCCGCGACGCUACUCGGCAGCCGUAGCGGGAUCAGGAGACCGUUCCUGGAGGCGCUGUCCACGUGCCUGGGCUCCCCCGACGCCGGCCUGGUGGGGGCGUGCCUGACGAUGGCCUGGUGGAGGUUAUCAGUGAGAAAGUAGAUAUCUGGGGUGCAGGGUAUUCUCCACGUCAGUGUGUCCAAUAAUCCUAAACAAGGCAAUAUGUAUUUGCUCUUUAUUAUCAAUUCAUGUGAAAAUCUGAAAGAACGUGGAGCCUGAAACUAUUGUCUGGUGGGCUGGUGGCUGAUUUUCAUUCAAUUGGGCUGGUACACCUCUGUUUUGACUCCCAUACACCAAGAAUCGAGGGCGCCUGCAUCCGUGGGAGUAAGACUCUCCGGCUUUGAAGGAGGAGACAAAGGCCGAAGGGCAGACACAUUGCCUUCUGUUCAUGUUGCUUGAUGUUGAAACACCAACCACUCACCAGUCAUUUACUCUCUCACUUGCUCAUUGGAUCAUGUGCACCACCAUAGUUAGAAACCUUUAUGUCACAGUUAGAGCAAUGCAUUGGGAUUUUUUUUGCUAUGCACAGAAUACUUGUAUUUGGAUCUGGCAUAAUUACAAUCAUCCUGUCAUCAUCAGUUUCACUCCUCUGGCUGCUCCUUGUGUGUGUGUGUCCACUAAUGCGUUCAGCAUUGCAACUGCUGCUGCCAAAUGCUGAGGCAGCAGUAUACAUAACUGGUUCAAUUUGUGCAGCAUUCGUUGCCAACAUAGAUGGUCACUCUGAUAAAACUGUCACCUUCAAUGGGAGGAUGCUCAGGUUUUGAGACCGAACCUAUAUGUACCACCAAAACAAUAUCCUAAUUGCAAGGAAGGUGACCUUCCUCUCAUCAUCGCGAUUGACUAGCAACCAAUGGCCCUGAUAGGUGUUAUGCAAGUGUAGGGCGACAUCACUAAUGCUCGGACAACGGAUGUGGCAUUUCGAUGGAUGCAAAGCAGACUUGGUUGUUUGCGAUGGAGGCUUCGGAUAGUAAGAUAUCAUAUGAGUGCAAGAGAACUACUCUCACCAUUAACUAUAACAAAUUUUGUCACCAAAAUUUGGUGGCUGGUGGAUCUACUUAAGAAUCAAAAGUCAGACAAGGUGGACAUCACCAUCCAACCGGAGGAGCAGGAAGCCAUGAAUGAUGUUCUAGCAGCCAGGUGACGCCUGAUGUCUUUGUUCAGUUGAUAUAGUUGUCUGAUUUUUUCCUUCUUCCAAGUUAGAACGGUCUUUCUUGUACGUGUAUUUCUACUUCACCCUCAACGACCGGGUGCUCCGCGCGUUCGGCAGCCAUGACCGCGUCCACGUCAUCAACUUUGACAUCAAGCAGGGGCUACAGUGGCCGGGCCUCCUCCAGAAAAAGAGGAAUUGAAGCAGUAUCUGACUCGAACAUUUUUGUAGAAAACUUGGUAGAAAAAGAGGAAUUCCUGCAUACAUUUUCGAAGGAAUGUGAAUAUAUCAGAACUGCAGUGACAAAUGGUAGUGCCAUUAAGCAUGAUGGCUCAUAUGAAUCAGAUCCUGCAGUUGAGAUUGUUCGAGUUGAACUCCAAGGUGCUGCUGCAUUUCUUUUAUUCUCGUCUGGUACCUCUUGUACUUCUUCUGGUUGAAGGUUCCACGCCUAUAUAUAUUGGAGAACAUGGAUGGGAAAUGCUUCUGGUAGUAAAAAAGGCAACACAAGAGGCUGGUUCAAAAUUUGAACUGCUAGGUUUUGCAUCUGUGCAUAACUUCUAUCAUUAUCCUGAGAGUAUUCGCUUACGAAUCAGCCAGAUACUUGUGUUGCCACCUUAUCAGGGUGAAGGCCAUGGUCUUGGUCUUCUUGAAGCAAUCAAUUAUAUUGCACAGUCUGAGAACAUUUACGAUGUUACAAUAGAAAGCCCUUCUGAUUACCUGCAGUAUGUGAGAUCAUCCAUUGACUGCCUCUGUUUGCUCAUGUUUGAUCCGAUCAAACCUGCACUUGGUGCUAUUGUCUCGUCUCUGAAGGAGACCAACCUGUCAAAAAGGGCCCAAAGUUUGAGAAUGGUUCCACCGGUUGACCUGAUGGAGACUGUCCGUUAGAAGCUGAAGAUAAAGAAGAAACAGUUCCUCCGGUGCUGGGAAAUUCUGGUCUUCCUAAGCCUCGACUCUCAGGAUCAUAAGAGCAUGGACAACUUCAGGGCCUGCAUAUAUGACCUCAUGAAGGGGGAGAUCCUUGGCAGUGCCUCUGGAACUAACAGGAAGCGUCUAUUGCAGAUGCCAACCAGUUUCAAUAAGGAGGCAUCUUUUGCUGUGUAUUGGACACAUGAGAUUGGGGAUGUGGAUGAACAAACUGUUUAGCAGCAGCCAGAGGAUCUCAGGACGCAGGAGCAACAGCUCAAUGAGCUCGUGGACAUCCAAAUCGAGGAGAUUGAUGGGGUCGCCAAGAACGUCACUUCACGUGGCAAGGAUAAGAUGGCAGAGCUGGCGGUUCAAUGAAUCUGGGUGAGGUUCCUACUUCAAACGAUGUUAAAAUGUUGUCGUAGCUUAUCUGGUGAGGUCUCUUUUACGAGUUGGCUUCUUGGUAGAAAGGGAAUGUCACGGCAUAGGCACUGAGUAGAUUGUCACGACAGAUUAUUAUAUACUUCAAUUCUGGAAUAUUUGAUGGAAAUGCUAUUUUAGAUUGCUUGGUAA